AGUGAACGCUGGCGGCGGGCCUAACACAUGCAAGUCGAGCGGACGGACGAUAAGAGCUUGCCUCUACCGGUAGCGGCGGACGGGUGGGUGACGAGUACAUAGGCUACUUAUAAUACUUGGGGAACUACGGGGGGCCACUGCUGCUAAUACAGAAUAUAAUGUACCGGAGGAAGCAGGGGAUCUUCAGAGUUUGGGCGUCUCAAUGAGCCGGUGCCGGAUUAGCUAGUUGGCGGGGUAAAGGCACACCAAGGCAACGAUCCGUAGCUGACCUGAGAGGAUGAUCAGCCACACUGGAACUGAGACACGGUCCAGACUCCUACGGGAGGCAGCAGUGGGGAAUAUUGCACAAUGGGCGCAAGCCUGAUGGAGCCAUGCCGCGUGGGUGAUGAAGGCCUUCGGAUCGUAAAGCCCUGUUAUUGGGAAAGAAAAACAGCAUAUGAAUCCCCCGCUGUUCUGACGGUACCCAAAGAAAAAGCACCGGCUAACUUCGUG
rnacentral:rRNA from 1 species